CCAGUUCAACUUGAAGACACACCCAGCCCUGACUGUCAGCUUCCACCCAGCGCUGUUGUUGUUUAAAACAGAACCACAGAAGACAUAUACAAACAGACAUCCAGGCAACUCUGAAAGCAAAAAACGUCGACGCUAACAUCAUGGGGAAAUACGAUGAAGACGAGUGGGACGAAAAGCCUGAAGUCCCACGUCAAACACAACCAGAGAGGCACCAGACGACAGAGAGUAAAAGCUCCAAGAGCAAGUGUCCCACAUGCUGCUUGAAGACUCGUGACUGUCUGAUGAGCGCAGAGUGUGGCAGAUGCCUUCAGAUCUCCAGUGUCGUCGCCUUUUGCGGGAUGUGCAUCCGCAUGUUUAUCUAACCUGCCAGCAGAUCUUCCAAAGCAUCAAACCAGCAUGUCAUCAGCAAAAGCCCCUUUAAACUGUGUGUGAAAAAAUAAAGUAUAUUAAUCACCAAAACAUCUUUGACAUUAGAUGCAAUGUCAAAAUCAUUACUGCUGCUAACUAAAUGUUUUAUAGUCCAACGUAAAGAACAACUUUUUGAAAAUGAUUAAAGGUUUGUUUGCUACUGUAGGUUCCAGAAUGUUAUUGAUGUGUUGAUAAAUGCACAACAUGAUUGUUGUUUAUCUCAGCUUUGCGCACUAUUUAUUGCCUUGUUGAAAUAAAAAUAAAUAAAUAAA